GCCGAAGUGCUGGAAUUGGUAGACAGGCACGCUUCAGGAGCGUGUGUUCUUACGAGCGUGAGGGUUCAAGUCCCUCCUUCGGCA
rnacentral:tRNA from 1 species